GUUCAGGAUUAUGUGUUACUAUUAAAUUUUAUUUAUUAUUGCAAUUAUGUCAAUGAAACUAAUUAUAGCAAGAAUAAAUUACUACUGCCAACCAUGGAACAAGAAAAAAAAGAUAAUAACUUUAUAUAUAUACUUAGCAAUUUAAAAAAUGACAAAAAAACACAAUAUUAUGUACCUUUCGACAACGAUUUGUUAGUAGCUCAUAUUUAUAAUAAUAUAAAAAAACUUUACGCAUAUAAUGAAACAGAAAAAAAAAAUGCACAAAUAACAACGUGUUUAGCAUACCAAAAUAUGCCAAACGAACUGGAUCAAAUAAAUGAGUUCAUGCGAUGUAUAAAAAGUAGUAACACAGCAUAUCCAUUUGAUAAAAAUUCAAAACUGAAUGAUCAGGUAGGAUUAUUACCAAAUGGGUUGGAGGUAAAACAGGUAGACAUAAGAGGUAAACAGCAAGAAACAGCUCCCACUACAAAAGUAUGUACCACUCAAAUGAACUUUAUCCAAACGAACUCUACCCAAGCGAGCUCUACCCAAGCGAGCUCUACCCAAACGAGCUCUACCCAAACGAGCUCUACCCAAGCGAGCUCUACCCAAACGAGCUCUACCCAAACGAGCUCUACCCAAACGAGCACCGCCGAACGAAACAACCAGCAGAACCUAUUCAAAACAGUAGCACGUCCACCAAACCAUGUAACCACAUCUUUCAAAAAAAAUUAUUAUUUGGUUAUUCUCGAUAUAUUACUAUCACUUAACAACACUAACUACAAUAACAAAAACUUAUAUAAACAUUUAUUAGAUUUAUUUAAUAAAAACAUAUUUAAAUAUAAUAUACAUUUAUUUGACAUCGACAAAAUACUAUUUUCAUACACUUUAUUAAACAUAAAACCAGAAGAUAUAUCACUAACAAUUUUUAAUUUAUUGGAAAAAAUAAAAACAAAUAUCAUAUUAAAUUAUGAGAAUAAUAGCAUAAUUAAUAAAGAAAGUUAUUUUUUACACUCGUUUUGUAGUAUAUUUUUAUCCUGCGUUGAAUUAAAUUCUUUAAGUGUCAUAAAUUUAGAUAUCUUUGAGAAACAUGUAUUAAAAAAUAUAAAUAAAAUAAAUAUAAAUUCAAUUCUUAUUUUAUUACAGUAUUAUAUUUUAAAAAGCUCCCAAACAAAUGAUGUAAACAUAAAUAUAAUUACUCUUCUUGUUCUUAAUUAUAUUGAAAAAAAAUAUAACACCAAAAAAGAACAAAAUGAUAUGGAAGGGGAUAAACAAGAUAACACAUCUAUAUUGAAUGAAUUAACGAACGACAAAAACUAUGCAUUUAUGAAACAGUAUAUACAGGAGCGUAGUGCUACUACUGGUGCUAAUACUGGUGCUACUACUGGUGCUACUACUGGUAGCCGUAAUAGUAACCGUGGUGAACACAAUCUACAACAAAUACAUGUUCAAAACAUUUAUAAUUUACCUUUUUUUAAAAAAAUAAACGAAGAUGAUUUAUACGAAUUCCUACUACUUAGAUUCGUUUUUUUAUAUAUUGCUACUCAUUCCAGUUUGUUUAUAAAUCAUUUUAAAUAUCAUUAUUUAUGUGAAGAAACGCAGAAAAAUGUGAUAAGCAAUUUUAAUAAAAUAAUAUUACACAUGAAGACGGAGUUUACGGAGGCGUUAAAUUGGGACAUAAUGAAUGGUUUUGACAUGACUAACAUAUCCAGACAAGGCGGACUAAAUACCAUGUAUAGACAAGACAACUCAGACACAGUCUUACCUUGUCAUAACAAUCAAACCAUUAACCAGCUUAAAAAGACCAAUUUAAAAAACGGAACAAAUAAAAGUAAAGAAUAUCAUAAAAACGUGGAAACAUAUUAUAAUUUACCUAACAAUUGUAGUAACAAUGAUAUAAAAAAAAAAUGCAACUUAUUAUCUAAACAACAGUUUAUUUUAUUAUUAAAUUAUUUUCAUUUUAUUCUUAAACAUCCAUUGAAUUUUAUUAUAGAAGACAAAAAUUUUAUAACAUCUAUGUCCAUGCAGCAUAUGUUUGUUAAAAAAUAUAAAUGCUUAUAUUACAAUUAUAAAUAUUCCUUUAUUUAUAGAAAGUUGUUACUUUCUAUUAUAUACAAUAUGAAAAAAAAAAACGCAUUAACAGUUAAUAAAAAUUUAAUAUGUAAAAAAAAUAAAAACAGUACUAGUCAAAAGGAAAAAAUGAGCAUUAACGAAUAUAUGCGAGUCAUAAAAU
rnacentral:lncRNA from 1 species